GACAGAGGCCUCAAGCGUUAGGCGGAAUCACUGGGCUUAAAGCGUGUGUAGGCGGAUCGUUAAGUGUCUUGUGAAGUCCCACGGCUCACCCCGUGGAACGGCUGGGCAUACUGGCGAUCUUGGGCCAACUAGGGGCAACUGGAACAAGCCGGUGGAGCGGUGAAAUGCGUAGAUAUCGCUUGGAACGCCGAAGGUGAAAACAGGUUGCUGGGGUUGUGCCGACGCUGAGACACGAAAGCCAGGGGAGCAAACGGG
rnacentral:rRNA from 1 species